rnacentral:rRNA from 1 species
GAUGAACGCUGGCGGCGUGCCUAAUACAUGCAAGUCGAGCGAACAGAUAAGGAGCUUGCUCCUUUGACGUUAGCGGCGGACGGGUGAGUAACACGUGGAUAACCUACCUAUAAGACUGGGAUAACUUCGGGAAACCGGAGCUAAUACCGGAUAACAUAUUGAACCGCAUGGUUCAAUAGUGAAAGGCGGCUUUGCUGUCACUUAUAGAUGGAUCCGCGCCGUAUUAGCUAGUUGGUAAGGUAACGGCUUACCAAGGCGACGAUACGUAGCCGACCUGAGAGGGUGAUCGGCCACACUGGAACUGAGACACGGUCCAGACUCCUACGGGAGGCAGCAGUAGGGAAUCUUCCGCAAUGGGCGAAAGCCUGACGGAGCAACGCCGCGUGAGUGAUGAAGGUCUUCGGAUCGUAAAACUCUGUUAUCAGGGAAGAACAAAUGUGUAAGUAACUGUGCACAUCUUGACGGUACCUGAUCAGAAAGCCACGGCUAACUACGUG